rnacentral:misc_RNA from 1 species
GUGAAGAACGUAGCGAAAUGCGAUAAGUAAUGCGAAUUGCAGAAUUCCGUGAAUCAUCGAAUCUUUGAACGCACAUUGCGCCCCUUGGUAUUCCGAGGGGCAUGCCUGUUCGAGCGUCAUUAUAACCCUCAAGCUCAGCUUGGUGUUGGGGCCUGCUGCACUGGCAGCCCUUAAAAUCAGUGGCGGCGCCAUCUGGCUCUAAGCGUAGUAAUUCUUCUCGCUAUGGAGUCCUGGUGGAUGCUUGCCAUCAACCCCCAAUUUUUCUAUGGUUGACCUCGGAUCAGGUAGGGAUACCCGCUGAACUUAAGCAUAUCAAUAAGCGGAGGA